rnacentral:rRNA from 1 species
UACGGGGGGGGCAAGCGUUGUUCGGAAUUACUGGGCGUAAAGGGCUCGUAGGCGGCCCUCUCAGUCGGAUGUGAAAUCCCCAGGCUUAACCUGGGAACGGCAUCCGAUACUGGAGGGCUUGAAUUCGGGAGAGGGAUGCAGAAUUCCAGGUGUAGCGGUGAAAUGCGUAGAUAUCUGGAGGAAUACCGGUGGCGAAGGCGGCAUCCUGGACCGACAUUGACGCUGAGGAGCGAAAGCGUGGGGAGCGAACAGG